AUUAAGGGCUGACUGCCAUUGAGGAAGGAUCUCUCUCUUGUGGAGUUUCUCGUGAGUCUACAACACUGGACACUAUGAUAAAGAAAACCAGAAGCACAAGCAUGCAAGAACACACUCUAGAGAUCCUGGACGCAUGGACUCAGCAGCAAAGGGAGUUUGUGACUCAUUUUUAAUCAUUAGCUAAAUGACAUCAUAUACCUCUCUGUUCCUCUUUACAUCUCUUGCACUCUUGACCCCAAGAACAUGUCCGCUGUCUCUAUUGCAUUCUUUCCUUUUAUUCUGUCCAAGUAUAUUAUCUGGGCAUAUUUUUUCCUGUGAAGGAUUUGAACACUCCAGAAUAAGCACAUGCACCUUCCAUGUAGUGACCUAUUAUGACCACCCAAAGCUUUUACCUUGUGAAGUAGUAACAAACUGAUACAGUUAAGGGUAAAGAAAUGGUAUUUUUCAUGUAGGGAAUAUUUUGUUGGCUAUCAGGUCCAAAUAAAGUAUAUUGUCUAACUUACAAAGGCAGCUGGCAAAGGACAAAUUCUUAAGGCCAAUUCACACAUAUCAGAAGUUUAGGAAAAAGAAAAAAGAGAAAAAGAAAAUUUUUCAAAUAAGGGUAAAAUUCUUAAACUUUCAUGAAAGUAUGCAUUGUGGAAGGACAGUACAUGAGAAAGGACUAGGGUUUCUCCAUAAGAUUAGCUGAGAUGAGGUAGAGUCCUAAUCUCACAGCACUGGGAGAGAAGCCACUUAUGAUUUUUGGGGCAGUCUGAAACUUCUCAAAAUUCAUUCAGAUUAAAAGAAUGCAGAAGCACUCUUAGGCUAUUGCUUUGGAGCAAAUUCUUCAGAUGAAGACAGAUAGCAUAGCUAUAAAUUAUAUUCUGGUUUAACAAUUACAAGCAUCUGAGAAAUUAAAACUACUUCAACUGGUAUGCUUAGACCAAGAACAAGUGAAACAGGACAACAGUCACCCACUUUGAAAUCUACUGUAGAAAUUGCAUGAAAGGUAGUAUUUUAUUGCUACAAUAUUCAUACUUGUUCAAAUGGCCGGAAUAAUCUUAUACUACUUAAAUUUUUAGGGUUGAAGAUUGAAUAUCUCUGCAUAAAUAACCUUAUAAUUCUUGCACUGCUGAGUAGUUAAUGGCAAAGAGUCCACAUAAAAGCUACUUACUUCAUUACUUCACUUACUUUAACAGUUGCCAAGAAGUCCAUAGACGGAUUCAUUUUGUAGCAUGUUUGCUGGAAUUAUUCGGGGAGAGAUAGAAGGACAUAAUGACAAUUUGACUUUGUGUCUUGCUUGGUGGUUAGCACAUGGAUAGACUAUCAACCAGUAUUUUAAUAAUUAAACUGGGCAAUUAGAUGUGUCAGACCCCCAGAAAAUUACCUAGGGACAAGAGCACAGAAAAGUUCUUCUCACACUGUGAGAGGACAGAGUGGUAGAGAGUUUCUUCUAAUAUUCUGAAAAGACAUUACCAUUUUAAAUACAUCUCAUCUAGAAUUUUCUUGGGACAUUGGUUACCUACCUAUAAUCUUCAACUGUACCUUUGUCUUUUAGGUAUAAAUAAAGUGCUGGCGUAUUUACACAGAUUAAAUUUACUAUCAUUUUUUUAAGACUCACAAAAUUAAAUUAAUAAGAAAAU
ensembl:lncRNA